rnacentral:rRNA from 1 species
CCUACGGGGGGCAGCAGUGAGGAAUAUUGGUCAAUGGGCGCGAGCCUGAACCAGCCAAGUCGCGUGAGGGAUGAAGGUUCUAUGGAUCGUAAACCUCUUUUAUAAGGGAAUAAAGUGUGGGACGUGUCCUAUUUUGAAUGUACCUUAUGAAUAAGGAUCGGCUAACUCCGUGCCAGCAGCCGCGGUAAUACGGAGGAUCCGAGCGUUAUCCGGAUUUAUUGGGUUUAAAGGGUGCGUAGGCGGCCUUUUAAGUCAGCGGUGAAAGUCUGUGGCUCAACCAUAGAAUUGCCGUUGAAACUGGCGUUCUUGAGUGGGCGAGAAGUAUGCGGAAUGCGUGGUGUAGCGGUGAAAUGCAUAGAUAUCACGCAGAACUCCGAUUGCGAAGGCAGCAUACCGGCGCCCAACUGACGCUGAAGCACGAAAGCGUGGGUAUCGAACAGGAUUAGAUACCCGAGUAGUC